UGGGGAAUAUUGGACAAUGGGGGCAACCCUGAUCCAGCAAUGCCGCGUGUGUGAAGAAGGUUUUCGGAUUGUAAAGCACUUUCGACGGGGACGAUGAUGACGGUACCCGUAGAAGAAGCCCCGGCUAACUUCGUGCCAGCAGCCGCGGUAAUACGAAGGGGGCCUAGCGUUGCUCGGAAUGACUGGGCGUAAAGGGCGUGUAGGCGGUUUGUACAGUCAGAUGUGAA
rnacentral:rRNA from 1 species